rnacentral:rRNA from 1 species
CCCUUAGAUGUCCUGGGCUGCACGCGCGCUACACUGAUGUGUCCAGUAAGCACCUAACCUCUUCCGAAAGGAACGGGUAACCUUUGCAAAGCACAUCGUGAUGGGGAUAGAUUAUUGCAAUUAUUAGUCUUGAACGAGGAAUUCCUAGUAAGCACAAGUCAUCAGCUUGUGUUGAUUACGUCCCUGCCCUUUGUACACACCGCCCGUCGCUCCUACCGAUUGAAUGUUCCGGUGAGCUCUUCGGACUGCGCGGUCAGCAGUUUCUGCGUUCCGUGCGGAAAGUUGCGCAAACCUUAACAUUUAGAGGAAGGAGAAGUCGUAACA